ensembl:lncRNA
AUUGUUUGUUUAGAUGGCCAGGUGAAAAAGGGGCACUGCCAAGCAAGUCUCAAGGAAAUGUGCACCCUCCACAGGAAGUUUUAUUAUUGGCUUCUGGGGAAGUGUCUGCCAUGAAAUGUCUGUGGAACCUGGGUUAAAACAUGUCAUUUUCUGACUCUCAGUUUCUUCUGUGUAAAACAAAACGGAUGGAUGAUGUACAAAAUGAGGUUCUCCAAUUCUUUUAUGAGACAGGCACUUAAGCACAUUGUUGUGCUCUGGUAGGGAAAUCUUUCUGUCUACAAAGACCUCAAAGAGGACACAAGGGUAGUGUUCUCUGCUAUGAAGUGGAUUCAGUGGAAGGACUUGAUCAUAUUCUGAGAUACUUCAGCAUUUUUGCCUUCUGUAAAUUCUUCACCUACGAAACAGGUUAGAGCAGGAAGGAAAAUGGCAAUUGUAGGUUUUGGACAGAGUGGAGCAAACCUUUCUUGUUUCUCUUGGGGAUUAGCUUCAAGGAUGGAGGGAGGGUAUUGAUACUGACAACAGAGACACACUCUUAUCUGAAAUUCAGAUCAAAUGAUUCCACCCUGUAGAGCAUUCCAUGACAAUGGCCUUUCCAGGAGCAUGAAUCUAUACACAGCCCAGUAGUUAAUUUCAAUCAGCAGGCUUUGCUGGUAUUGCUGCUCCCAUUUUAGAUUUACAAAGCCAUUCUUGAUGAAGACAAUAAAAGCCUCCUGUCCCUCUGGUAUUGCAUUAUGCUCUGACACUUUAUCAGGGCACACAGACAGACGGUUGUUCUAAACCAUAUAUAAAAUGGAGCAAGCUCACAAAUCAUGCUUUGAUAUUGCACUGUGCAAACACCAAGGUUAAAAGGUAAAUCUGUGCUGUAACCGUAUUGAUUAAUUGAUGUUAAGAAAGGUCAGAUUAAUCUUUAUCUUGCUUGAAAAACUCUAGUUCUCCAUGGCAGGGCUGUUGAAAUGGUUCCUGUAUAAAAAGAUAAAAACAACAAUAAGAACUGGAGCCUUAAUGCAAAAAAAGUGAGGGAAAACUCACCUAAUAAUCACUCAGAAAAUGUUAGUGAAAGGAACCCUAGUGGAGAGACAAUGGGGAAAUCUCAUCAGUCGCUCAGGUAGUUAAAGCACUGAAACAGGGACUGGAAAGUGGAAGUUAUUGCGUUUUCUGUGUAUUUGGGAUAGGCUUCCUUGGAAACACCUUCACUAGUGAAGCAAUUGUAGAAGUAAAAAUAAUGACUUUAGAUAAUAGCCUUAAGCCUGUUCCAAGAAGGCCAGACAAGAGAGGAGAGCUUCUACUCCUUUUUUCCAAUAGGAUUGAAAUCAGUUGAAGUAAAAUACCUAACUUUCCUGACCUUCAGGUCCUGCCCAGGUGAAAAACUGGCACAUAACAUUUCUUAUAAGAUCGUUUCUGUAUCCCCAGGGCCUGGUGGGAAAGGGAAAUCAUCUCUUCCACAUAUGGAGAUGCACAGACAACUUAAGAACUUAAGAACAACUUGCCCAACCUACUUCUGGUUCAAAUGAUAAAACCGGGUUUGAAGGCUAAAAUUUAGGGUUUUGAGAAAACCAAGAAAAAAAUAAGGAAGGAUUAGUGGCUAAAUCUAUCUAAG